AGUUUGGGCAACCUAAAAACCACCCCAAUAAUAAUCUCCAAGCUUCCAGAUCUAGAAUUCAAAAAAUUCAGAUCUGAAACUCCUUUAGAUUCUAACUUCUUCAAAAAGAAAAACCCAAAAACAAUAGAAAUCUUAAUAGAAAAACCAAGAAACAGACUGUUGCAUUGAGAUCCUGAGUUUAAUUCCAAAUUUUGAGCAUUUGAUCUUCAUUGCUUAGUUCAAGGUUGAUGGCUAAGACUUCAUAGUUAUAUGAGCUAAUGUCGAAUGAGAUUAGAUCCAAUUGAAUUGGAUUUUUGUUUGCUGAAAGUGUUAAACUCUUUCUGGGUAAUUUCCAAGGUUAUUUGGUUUGUUUUGGAGUUGUUUGAGUCGAUCUUUCAGUUCUGAUUGGGUUUAAUUUGGGUCGAUUUUGGUGAUUUGGGAAACUGCUAUUGCUUUUGGUUUUCAAACCUCUUCUGGGUUAUAAACUGAUUCCUGGGCUACGUGUUACUCACAUAGCUGCUGGUUUGUUGAUAUAGUGAUGAUGCUGAUUUUCCUUUUCUGUUACAAAUUCCAUUUCCAAGUACCAUUUUUAACUCAUUGUCAUGUAGUUGUGAGAUGGAAGACAAAAUAAAGAAAUCUCAUGGAUUUUAAGUGAUUAUGAGUGCCUCAUGUUGAUUGCUUCAUAGUUGUAUUAAUGUGGUUGUUUCAAUCGAUUUUAUGUGAACUCUAUCACAGUUGUAAGAUAUAGAAUUGGAACAGUGAUAGUUUGAUGGUAGUUGGUUUAAAUUGGAGUUGGUAUCAAGAUAUCGGGACUGUGUUAACUAGAACAUUAAUUGGGAUCUGUUUAAUUCUGGGCCUUAUAGCUUUCAUUUGAAAUAUUGUGAUAACCGUUAUAUUGUCGUUAUUCCCAGUUUACUAUGCAUUUUUAAAGUAAUUGAUUUCAG
rnacentral:lncRNA from 1 species